UUCCCGAAAAAACUGUUGUGUGAGGUAAUGGGAAAGUCUUUUAUGUCCAGUAAACCUGAGGUAUAGAGAUACCACACUUACAGAAUGUGACAGAGAAAGAAGAGGAGGAAAAAAGAGAUUAAAAGACUGAUCACAGCGUUCCUGCAGCAAGCUCACAAGUUGAUGUCUCGUACAUCGGUUGGGGUGCUGGACUGGUCUUGGUCAUCAAGUGCUUUGCUGCGCGGGCCACCCUGUUCCUGCUGCUGCUGUUUCUGCUGUUGCCGGCGGCCCUCCCUCAGGAACUGACAAGAUCUAAAUAUCAUCAUGUGAAGACACAGUGUCCUGGGGCUAAUAUUCUUUAUCCACCAUUCAGAAAAAAGUUCUAAAAAAAAAGAUUUACUGGAGAUAAGGGGUGGUGCCUGAUGUGAACAUGAAGCCUGAUGACAUUUUGCAACCACACAACUCAAUAAAAACCAUUGACUCCUGGUACACCAAGAGGGGUAUGAUGGAAUGUAAACUAUGAGCAGAGGCGUUCCCCAAAAGAAAACCAAUUACAUACUAAUAUGGAAAUGAACCUUUGUGUUCCAAAUGAUCUGUAAAGUUUGGCCAGUAAAAAGUAGUGUGCAUGAUCA